CUUUGAAGGCCAAGUGCAUGGUCCUCUUCUUCUCCUGCCAGCGGAGUGUGGUGAGGCUACCACAACUCACUGGUCCACCAUUACUGAGCUGACUGCACCUUGCCACAGAUGGUCUGUCACAUCCACACGUGCACCAGAUGAUUGACAGCCUGCAGCAUCUCUGCAGCCACUCCACAGUCCACAUCUCCCUCCCACCAGGAGGAAUCCAC